AACAAGGACUCUGGGAAGGGCGCUUCCGCGUUCCUUCUGCGCCUGUGCGUUCUGCUCUCUGGCCGUCUUCUCCAAAGUUGGGCCAGUGUCGCGGGUCCUCUUGGCGCUCUGGUAGCAUCUCUGACAUGGAGGGACUGCUCUCCUUCAGGGAUGUGGCCAUUGAUUUCUCUGCAGAGGAGUGUGAAUGCCUGGACCUUGCUCAGUGGAAUCUGUACAGGGAUGUGAUGCUGGAGAAUUACAGCAACCUUGUAUUCCUGGGUCUAGCUUUUUCUAAGCCAUAUUUGGUGACAUUUCUCGAGCAAAGAAAAGAGCCAUGGAAUGUGAAGGGACCAGCCCCAGUUGCUGUAUACCCAGAAAUAAAACCUUAUAAAUUUAAAGAAUGUGGCAAGACCUUUCCUUGGAAUUCACUUCUUAUCCAACAUCAUAAAACUCACGCUGGAGAAAAGCUUUACAAAUGUGGUGAAUGUGGCAAGGCCUUUAAUGUUCGCUCAACACUUUAUAAACACCAGAGAAUUCAUACUGGAGAGAAACCCUACAAAUGCAAAGAAUGUGGCAAAGGUUUUACAUGUUCUUCAAGCCUUAACCAACACCACAGAAUUCAUACUGGAGAGAAACCCUACAAAUGUCAAUGUGGCAAAGCCUUUAAUAAUUCUUCAGCUCUCACUCAGCACCAAAGAAUUCAUACUGGAGAAAGACCAUACAAGUGUGAAGAAUGUGGCAAAGCCUUUAAUAAUUGCUCAGCCCGUACGCGACACCAAAGAAUUCAUACUGGAGAGAGACCCUACAGAUGUGCAGCUUGUGGCAAGACCUUCAAUUUUCCCACAUCACUUUCUCAACAUCAGAGAAUUCAUACUGGAGAGAAACCCUACAAAUGUGAAGAAUGUGGCAAAGCCUUUAACUGUUCUUCACAUCUUAAACAACACCGAAUUAUUCAUACUGGAAAGAAACCCUACAAAUGUAAAGAAUGUGACAAAGCUUUUAACUGUUCUUCAAGUCUUAACCAACACCGUAGAAUUCACACUGGUGAGAAACGCUACAUAUGUGAGGAAUGCGGCAAAGCCUUUAAUAAUUGUUCAGCUCUUACUCAACACCAAAGAAUCCAUAGUGGAGAGAAACCCUUCAAGUGUGAAGAAUGUGGCAAAGCCUUUUAUAAUUGCUCGGCCCUCUCUCGACACCACAAGAUUCACACUGGAGAAAAACCCUUCAAAUGUGCAGAUUGUGGCAAAGCUUUUAUUUUUCGUUCAUCACUUUCUCAGCACCAGAGAAUUCACACUGGAGAGAAACCCUACAAAUGCAAAGAAUGUGGGAAAGCCUUUAACUGUUCUUCACACCUUAACCAACAUGGAAGAAUUCACAGUGGAGAGAAACCUUAUAAAUGUGAAGAGUGUGGCCAGACGUUUAUCUGUUCAUCAUACCUACAUAAGCAUCAGAAGAUUCAUACUAUUGAAAAACUCUAUGAAUGCAAAGAAUGUGGUAAAACCUUUAGCUGUUCUUCAUACCUUAAAUAUCACCAGAGAUUUCAUACUGGGGGGAAAUCUUACACAUGCAAAGAAUGUGACAAAACCUUUAGGUCCUCUUCAUACCUUAGGAAUCAUCAGAGAUUUCACACUGGAGAGAAACCCUACACAUGCAAAGACUGUGGCAAAGCCUUUGUUAAUUCUUCAAGCCUUCUUGUACACCAAAGAAUUCAUACUGGAGAGAAACCAUACAAGUGCAAAGACUGUGGCAAGGCUUUUAGGUGUUCUUCUUAUUUUAAGUAUCACCAGAGACUUCAUACUGGAGAGAAACCCUAUACAUGCAAAGAAUGUGGCAAAGCCUUUGCUAAAUCUUCAUGUCUUAUUCUACACCAAAGAAUUCAUACUGGGGAAAAGCCCUACAAAUGUGCGGAGUGUGGCCAGGCCUUUAUCUGUUCCUCAUACCUGAGGAAGCAUCAGCGAAUCCAUACUGGUGAGAAACCUUAUACAUGUGAAGAAUGUGGCAAAGCUUUUAGUAUUUACUCAACCUUCAUUCAACACCAGAGAAUUCAUACCGGAGAAAAACCUUACAAAUGCAAGGAAUGUGACAAAGCAUUUAAUAAUCAUUCAGCUCUUAUAAAGCAUCAAAGAAUUCAUACUGGAGAGAAGCCCUACACAUGUAAAGAAUGUAAUAAAGCCUUUAAUAAUAGCUCAAGCCUUAUUCGACAUCAACGAAUUCAUACUGGAAUUGAAACCCUAGACGUUCAAGGAAUGUGGCAAGGCCUUUAAUAAUAAUAGUUCAACUCUUAGCCUCCCAAACUCACAGUAGUAAGAAAGUAAAAUGGAAAAAAAGGUGACAAAUAAGUGUUUUAUACAUAUACAAGUGUAAAAAUUCAUGCAUGAAAGAAACCCUACAAGUUUAAAUAGUGUUGCAAGUCUGUUAGUGCUUCUUCUUAUCUUGAUAGCAGAAGAUUUGUACUGGGGAGCCCUAAAAAUAUAUCAGGGAUUUUAAUGAAUGUUCACUCCUCAUCACUGAAUUCAUGCUUCAUGGAAAUCUUAGCACUUACUGACUUUGGAAUGACCUCUGUCCAAUAUGUGUGAGCAAAAUAGUUAUGCCAGAACAAAUGAGGGGCAUGGAGUUCCAAAGAGAAGAGUGAAGACACAAGAAAGGAAAUAUGCUAAGAACAUCUAAGAGCCAAGGCUUUGCUGCCACUGGAGGACAGGUACCUGCUGAACUUCUAGAAAGCCAUUCUACUUAAGCAGGAACGAAUGCUCCACCCAUGAUCUCCUCAAUCCCUGCUACCUUUCUUCCCUCCCUCACCACCAUCACCACUACCACUCCCACCUACACACACACACACACACACACACACACACACACACCACCACACACACACACACACACACACACACACACACUCGUGGUCUUGUUUAAAUUCUCAUGUUGUAAAUCAGCAAUCUGCAUUGUGUCAUUGCUAAUUAACACAACAAUGCCUAAUUAUUAGUACCCAGUAUAAAAAAUUAAAUAUUAAGGGAAGCUCAAGUUCACAAGUACAGUAAAAUUUUAUGUUAAAUAUUUAUUGAAUAUUUACAUUGCAAUUACAGAAAUCCAUCUAGGGGCAUUAUAACUAUGACCCUUUUUUACUUUAUUAAGUACAGUCUGCCUACAAUUCAAGGAAAUUACAUCUUAAACUGCCUUCCACUGUAGGGUAUUAUUAGCUACACUGUGGAAUGAUAUAAUUGAAGAGCUUUAUUCUGCUAUACCCAAGAUACAUAAUAUCAUAUCAAAGUAAGUAAAAUAGAACUUCAUUUUAGUAACCACUCUUGUCACCUUUCUGUGGUUCAUGUUGCUUUGGACUGGAGUUUGUAAGCAAACAGAAGACCACUCCUUUUCUCAAAGCAAUCUCUCCCCAAAACCACGUAUUUGCAUUUAUGUACCAAAACUAUUGUUAAUCCAAACAAGAUAGCAACAAAUGGGUUGUAUUGACUGUCAAUCACUUAUACCUAGUUGACCAGUAAAGUGAAAUAGCUUUUUGUCCUCUAGUCAUUAUCUUCCUUCCUUGACCUGCCAUUGUCCCACAUGACCUCCACAUGUGCACCAGAGAGCAUAACUGCACUGACAUACACUAAUGCACAUGCGCACGCGUGCGCGCAACACAUGCGCACCACAGACACUUCAAAAAAGAAAAAAAAAUGUGAGCUGAGUGCCCACACUUUGAUUAAAUAAAUAUUUUCAUCUAUAUUGUCUUAUUCAAAGUGUUUUAUUUGUCAUUUCCCUCCAUGAUGUCUAUUAGUGAAUUUUUAUGGUCCGCUCCCUUUGGGGGAGAUUAGUAAAAGCUUUACCCAGAAGACAGCCUAUUUGUAGGAUGUGUCCUUAAGAAGGAAAUCUGUGCUGCCCAAGCAAGCAAUUUUAGGUAAGGAAGCCCCUGGCAAGAGCUCAUGACACAUCUCUGCAUGUACCAUUCAUUAUAUUGUUUGGUAUUACUGUCAUCAAAUGUGAAUAAGCCAUGCAUGACACUUAUUUUACAAGGUACUCAGAAAAGGAGAUCACACUGU